UUGCUCAGAAUUACAGGUCUCAAGUGAUGCAAGACAUUCCACAGAUCAAUGUUAAGCCCAUGAAUACAACAUCUACUGGCAUUGUCUGAAGAAUGCAAAAUCAUUUGUAUGACUGGUUUAGUAAUGAAAAAUAAAUUAUAUUUGGGCUUUAGGGCACAGUAAUAAAGAGCAGAGUCUGUCACUUCAGCAGAGGAGAUCACAAGUUCCACAAGCUUCUGAUCUUUCACAUUGCGGAUAGUCAGUCCUGGUACUGGGUUGGUUAUGCUCCCUGCAUAGUCUUGUAUGAUGAACUGUGGUGCUGAUCCAGGAUACUGGCGGUACCACAACAGACCGUUGGGUCAGAAUACUCCUACUUUUGACAUUGUGUAAUACACUGAAGACACCACUUGAUGGAACUAUUGCCAAAGCACAGCAGGUUUUUGUAUAGGAACUGUGUCUCCUGUAGUCACUGUGGGCCUCAGAGCACAGUAGUAGACAGCAGAGUCAGACAGCUGCACACUCUGGAUCCUCAAAGGAACUGAUCUUUCAUCAAAGUUAAGUUGAGCAUCAAAUCUUUCUUUUUUAAAAGCUUUGGAAUUGUCUCCAUCUGUGUACUUGUCCCGUCUUAACAUGUAUGUGGGAAAGUCCUUCACCCCCAUCUUGUACCAGAAUAGACUGGGAUUUGAAUCAGUUGUGUUAAAUUUACAGACAAGUCUAACUGUCUCUCCCUCAGUAGCAGUCAGAACUCCUGUUGACUGGGUGACAGUGUCUUCACCUCUGCAUUCUGGGAAAAGAGACCAAAAAUGUAUUAUUUAGUCAUUUUGAGCAGACGCUCUUAUCCAGAGCAUCUGACUUUCAAUAGACAAAAUAUUUAAAGCAUCAUAUUCAGAACAUGUAGUACAUUUAAUCACAGUUACAGGUAUAGUAGUGUCAUACCAAAAGAUAAAGUUAGAAUCACUAGUAGGUUCCUCUGCCAGUGCUCCAUGUCUUUACUGAGAUGGGUGGGUGGAGAGAGAGCAAACUCUCUGGUGGAGACCUACAUGUAUCAUAAGAAGAUACAUUCCUUCUCAUCUCCUCCUCUUUCUGAGGUUUCUUCUGAAUGGACAUUAGCCGUGAUUCUUUGCCCGGACCUAGCUCUUGCAUUUUGCAGAUUCAGAAAUUCACUGUGAAGACUUAUUUACGUUCAGAAUUUAUAAACUGUUCAAACCUUUGUUCUUUACUUGAAUACAUAUUAAUACUGACUGACCCUUAUCAAUUAUCUUGUUGUGGAUUGUGGUUCCUUUAGUUAGAAAUCUGAUGUUUGAAUUUCUAUUCCUGUGCAAAAAAUAAUUACUCAACUUUUAACCAUGAUUCUCCCCUUAAUCUACUGUGACACUUCCCUUUCCACAUGUGUUUCUGUAGAGGAGCUGCAUAACAUGCAGUCACUGUGGGCCUCAGAGCACAGUAGUACACAGCAGAGUCAGACAGCUGCACAUUCCCGAUCCUCAGAGGAACUGUUUUUCUAUCAACGUUGAGAUGAGCAUAAAAUCUUCCUUCAAAUUCCUCAGCAUUCUCCCCUUUACCAAAUGUGAACCUUUUCAGCAUAUACUCAGGGUACUUCCUCUCUUCAUGCUUGUACCAGAACAGAUAUGGACUUCUGUCAGUGGUUUCAAAUGUACAGUUAAGGGUCAUUGUCUCUCCCUCUAUUGCAGUCUCAUCUCCAGCCAUCUGAGUAACUGUGUCUUCUCCUCUGCAGUCUAAUAAAGCAAAACACAAAAGUGUCAGAACAAGAACAUGAAAGAACAGAAAACAUAGGAUUGUUGGAUAUUUUAAUGUAAUGGCACACAGUUUAAAUCGAUAGUUAGUUUCAUACCAAGACAUAAUAUAAGAAUCAAUAGGUUCUCCAGCCAGUGUUUCAUGUCUAGUGGGAUGGGUGUGAAUAGAAAGAGAGCAAAAGCACUCUUGUUUAUGUAUCUUAAAAUGACAAUUCUUCUGUCUCCUCUUCUGUUUAAGACUUAAAUCUAGUGAAGCCUAUGACUUUUUCUUUUCAGAUUGAAUGUGCUUUAUUCUCUUAAGGGAGGGACUGAUUUGGCAUUGACGUGUUAUUUGGUAGCUAGUACUGAUUGAGGUGCCUGAGGACUUUACAGUGAAAUGCU